UACGUAGGUGGCAAGCGUUGUCCGGAAUUAUUGGGCGUAAAGCGCGCGCAGGUGGUCCUUUAAGUCUGAUGUGAAAGCCCACGGCUCAACCGUGGAGGGUCAUUGGAAACUGGGGGACUUGAGUGCAGGAGAGAAGAGUGGAAUUCCAGGUGUAGCGGUGAAAUGCGUAGAUAUCUGGAGGAACACCGGUGGCGAAGGCGACAUCCU
rnacentral:rRNA from 1 species